AUUGAACGCUGGCGGCAGGCCUAACACAUGCAAGUCGAGCGGAGCGGCGGACGGGUGAGUAAUGCCUAGGAAUCUGCCUGGUAGUGGGGGAUAAGGUCCGGAAACGGGCGCUAAUACCACAACCUAUCAGAUGAGCCUAGGUGGGUUUAGCUAGUUGGUGGGGUAAAGGUCGAGCAAGGCGACGAUCCGUAUCUGGUCUGGGAGGAUGAUCAGGCACACUGGAACUGAGACACGGUCCAGACUCCUAAGGUAGGCAGCAGUGGGGAAUAUUGGACAAUGGGCGAAAGCCUGAUCCAGCCAUGCCGCGUGUGUGAAGAAGGUCUUCGGAUUGUAAAGCACUUUAAGUUGGGAGGCGUUACCAACAGAAUAAGCACCGGCUAACUUCGUGCCAGCAGCCGCGGUAAUUC
rnacentral:rRNA from 1 species